rnacentral:rRNA from 1 species
GACGAACGCUGGCGGCGUGCUUAACACAUGCAAGUCGUACGGUAAGGCCCUUUCGGGGGUACACGAGUGGCGAACGGGUGAGUAACACGUGAGUAACCUGCCCACAACUUUGGGAUAACGCUAGGAAACUGGUGCUAAUACUGGAUAUGUGCUCCUGCUGCAUGGUGGGGGUUGGAAAGCUCCGGCGGUUGUGGAUGGACUCGCGGCCUAUCAGCUUGUUGGUGGGGUAGUGGCCUACCAAGGCGGCGACGGGUAGCCGGCCUGAGAGGGUGACCGGCCACAUUGGGACUGAGAUACGGCCCAGACUCCUACGGGAGGCAGCAGUGGGGAAUAUUGCACAAUGGACGCAAGCCUGAUGCAGCAACGCCGCGUGCGGGAUGACGGCCUUCGGGUUGUAAACCGCUUUCAGCAGGGACGAAGCUUUUUGUGACGGUACCUGCAGAAGAAGCACCGGCUAACUACGUG